CUUUUUUGUUUUGUCUAUUUUUUCUUGAUUGAAGAUUGAGUUAUCCAAGCCUACAUGACAAAUCAUGAUUUACCUUUAUAUUUGUUUAAAGAUUUCACAUAUGCCACCAUUUUUUGCCACUAAGUCUUAAACUCAGAAAACACUCUGAGACACUUGGAUAAUUUCUAGAUAAAGCUGUUGCUCAAUGAAUGCCACUUUUAAAAUUCAAAAUAUAUUCUAAUUUCUGCAGUAGGCCAAAGGAAUAAUAAGUGUGGGGCCAGAGGCACUUUCUAUGGAGUAUUGACUAAGAGAACAAGAAUGAAAUUGAAAGACGGGGAAGCUAUCAGUGAAAAUACACUGUUCCUGGGCCCGAAACUAACUGGAUAUAUGGAUGCAAGCAAAAUCUUUGGCCAAGGUCUGCUGGAGUUUGCUGGAGGUCCACUCAAGACCCCGUUUGCCUGGGUAUUACCAGCAGAGGCUGCAGAACAACCAAGAUUGCUGCCUGUUCCUACCUCUGGAAGGUUCAUCCCAGAGGGUCACCCACAAGUUGCCAGCCAGAGCUCUUCUCCAUGAGGACAUGAGUAUCCUGCAGAAGCCAGGUCUUUCAUCAAAGAGUUCAACACACAUUGGCCUAUGAGUCAGAGAAACUGAAGGAGGAUACAAGGCAAGGUAGAGCAAUUGCAGACACGGCUGCUGCUUCACACCAAUGAGGACCCAGCAUUCAAGGCACCAUCUUGGAAGCAGAUAUAGACCUUUAUCAGACAAGGAACCUGCCUAUGUGUUGUUCUUGGAUUACAAAGCCUUCAG